UAUCUUUAAUUAAAUUAAAUAUUUUAGUACGAAAGGACCAAGUAUUUAUUAUAGUAAUUUUAUUAGAA
rnacentral:rRNA from 1 species